ACCGACUCACUGACUGUAUGUCUGCUACUAAUCUUAAUAGAGUGAGUUGGUAUUAAGAUUAGUACGAGACAUACAUUCAGUGAGUCGGUAUUAAGAUUAGUAGCAGACAUACAGUCAGUGAGUCGGUAUUA
rnacentral:pre_miRNA from 1 species